rnacentral:rRNA from 1 species
CGUUUUUAGUUAUUCUAUUAAAAAUACUCCCUGCCCAGUGACUAAUCGUUCAACGGCCGCGGUAUCCUAACCGUGCAAAGGUAGCAUAAUCAUUUGCCUUUUAAUUGGAGGCUAGUAUGAAUGGGAAGACGUGGAUUUUACUGUCUCUUUUUUGGACUUAAAACUUAAACUCUAGGUGAAGAUGCCUAGAUCUUAUGGAAAGACAAGAAGACCCUAUAGAGUUUUAGUUGACUUUAGCCAACUUUGCUAAUAUGACUUUGGUUGGGGCGACCUAGGAUUAUUUUUAACAUCCUUUAUUUUUUAGAUUAUAUAAAUCUUUUUAAUUGACCCUUUUAUAGACAAUUAGAAGUAACUACCUUAGGGAUAACAGGCUUAUCUUCCUAGAGAGCUCUUAUUGAUAGGAUGGUUUGGCACCUCGAUGUUGGCUUAGAGUAACUCAAUACCGCAGCAGGUAUUUGAAGUCAGUUUGUUCAACUGUUAAAUCUCU